GAACAUUAAAUGUCAUCAUGGUAAGCAACUCCAGGGUAUAUUUGGCCUUGUUUUACGUAAUUGUCCUUCUGCAAAAGAUGCAGGUGCUGAUGAGAGGGAACGGGCAAGACUAUUAUAGUCUCUAUUAUAUAGACUUAGCCUAAGUAAUUGAGAAUAGGCAGUGCUUGCUGCCACUGGGUGUGCUCUUGUUUUGGAGAGCUUGUUCCAUCUGCAGGUCUUGACAAGGAAAUAUUGUCAGCAGACCACUUGGCGUUUCUACAUCGGCUGUUUUUUUUGUGGGUAUCUGUACUUUACUAUUUAUAUUUGUGUCGACUUUUACUUCACUACAUUUUCAAAAGAAAAUGUAUACUUUUACUCCGAUACAUUUCCCCUGACACCUUCGUUACUCGCUACAAAAUCCAAUCAAUCUGAAGCUGGAAGAAAGAAAACGGAUCAUGUUGCAAAAAAGAUGCAAGCAACUUUGGCGAGUCGGAGCACUCGUGGAGGAACUUGUUUUGCGAGGCAGCAGGCAACGACAUGCAAGCAGAGUUGAUACAACCCUCAUCAGUUUGGGCAAAUCCAAGGGUCCUAAAGCGUUAACCCCACCCACCUGGAGCAUGUCACUUGCAAAACAGUCAUCCACUCAGCAGCACUUUGCCCAAUCAAGUCCGAAAUCGUACAAUCAUGUCCGACAUCGCUCUACCACCCACCUUAUGAGGAUGAACAUCCUUGGGUUGGCUGAAUCGAAAAUAAAUGUUUUAUUUUCUCGGAAUGAAGUAUUCAUCCUACCAGAUGAAAUGGCUUAGCUAGUUAGCUUGCCAUUUUAUUCCUUGUGUUAGUUGAUAAAGUUGUUCUUCUUACCUAGCUAAUUACUGUAGACUUAAGGUAUUAUUGACGUAACCUACUAUCUAGAUCAAUCAACAUCGUUUUUUUCUCAUUGUAAUAUUAAAUGGUGGUCACAAACUCUCACUUAACUAAUGUUGUUUAUAGCUUUAACAUUAGGAUCCUAUACCUUAAGUGUUUGUUGAUGGUAGUUAUCAAGCUAAGUAACAUGUCUUUCUCUUUUCCUUUUCUUCUUAUUUCAGAGAAAGCAUGUACACCAUCUUAAGAAGUAUGGAGAACUGACAGCAAACACACUGAAGAGAAAACAUGUCCCUGACACUCCCUCCACUAUCAGGCAGAGCACAUUACUGAAGAUGGUGUCUCAAAAAUCCAUCGACAAAGCUGUGGUGAAGUAUGUGGUCUAAGGGCUCCAAACAUUCGCUGUUGUAGAACAAGAACCGUUUAGAGAGUUUGUCCAGGAUCUGCAGCUUAACUCAAAUAUCAUAUCAAGGCCCACACUGUGCUCCAGGAUUGAUGAAGCGUCCAAAGAAAUUAAGAAGGUGGUGACAGGCCAUGAGAGGAGUUGACCACAUCGGUACCACCACCGACUGCUGGUCUGCAAGAAGACGGAGCUUCGUUGAUGUUACAGCCCAUUGGAUAGACCCUGACAGUCUCAACAGAUGCUCUUCAGCCCUGGCCUGUAAACGGUUGAGGCUUGCACACCUUUGAUUUGUUGGCAGGAACCCUAAAUGACAUCCAUUCUGAGUUUGAAAUCCGGGGUAAGAUUGUGAGAACAACAACAGACAAUGGCUCUAACUUCUUGAAAGCUUUCCAUCUGGAGAAGAUGAAAACAAUGAGGCAGUCGAAGCAAUGGGUGGUGAAGCAGCUUAGCCAGGACAGGAAGAUGGUGAAGAGGAUCAAGAGGAGAGUGAAGAAGUGGAGUUUGUUGAUGUGGCAACGAUCCUGAAUGAAGAUGAUGGUUUCGAGAACCAACAUCCAGUGAGGCUUACAAAAAAGUGGCCCGUUCAACAUUUGGCAAGUGCCUAGCACUUUGGAACAAAUGCAGAAGAUCCACACUUGCAGCCGAAACGGUUGAAAAUGCUUGCGAACUCCAGCUGCUGCGCCCGAAUGCUACAAGGUGGAACUCCUGGUUCAUGGCUGUAGAAAGACUCCUGAGGAUCAUCAAAGACAAAGGAGAGGCAGCCGUCAGAGUUCUCUGCACAGACUUCGAGGUUCCAAUGUUCAAUCCAUCUGAACUCACCUUCCACAGAGUAUGCUGCCACCAUGAGCCCAGUCACAAAGGCCAUGAACAUCCUGCAGGCUGAAACCAAUGUCCAGAUUGGGUGGCUACUUCCAACUAUCUACUGAUCACAAAACUUGACCAAAUCAAGUUGUCCCUGAAGUACUGUAAGCCUCUUGUAGAUGUGCUACAACUGGGACUGAAGAAGAGCUUCAGCCACAUGUUUCAACACCCUGAGCACAACAACGUGGACAAAGGAUGACGCCACCAUCAGAAUGGAAAUGGACUACAACAAGGACCACCUGGAAGAACCUUUGCUGCAGCUAGGUGAUGGUACCAGUUCAUCAGAUGAGGAGGACUUCUUCUCUGCCAUGAAGACGUCUUAAGCACAAGAAAGCUCCAAACAGCUGGACGGAUACCUGGCCUGUUCAGCAGAUCAUAUGGAGUCCUUCCCGGCAGUCUGUAAGCUGUCUCUGAGGCUAAACACACCCUUACCUGCCUCAGCUGCCUGUGAAAGGCUGUUCAGCAUUGCAAGACUUGUUUUCAGCCCCAGGAGAGCAAGGCUGGAUUCCAGAAACGUUGAAAACCAGCUUUGAUUGAAGAUGUACUGCAAAAGUAAUGACAGCUUAAUGCUAGCAAGCCCAAAGAUAGGGAUGCCUAAUGUGUUUUGUUAAUUUAUGUGUAAAAUUCACAAGUUAUAGGUGUCCUUGAACAAAGGCAUGACCUAACACACUGAUUUAUAAUACAGUUCCAUCAGUGGCGAUGGCCUCAUAUUCCUACAGUGAGGUUGUUUGCAGUUCAUGUAUGUACUUUUGAUGAGCUCAUCAUCUACAUUUUUAAAAAAUGUAUAGGGUUAUAUUAUAGGAUGUUUUUUCUAAAGCAAAGUGACUGUGAUUGUAAGUGCUUAUAUUUCCAGGCUAUAUUCCUUCAUUAAGGCAUAAUUCUAUUUUGUCUAUAAGAGAUGUAUUUUGAAGUGUUGCCUAUUUGAGAAUCCACCUUUUUGUUUUAUCUGAGCAUUAUUGCAUCCAUAAGACUGUUACCUUUCAGGAAAAACUCAAGCUCAAACCAAAUAAAAGGUCUGGCUGUUUUGCUUUUUGGAUUUA